rnacentral:rRNA from 1 species
GAUGAACGCUGGCGGCGUGCCUAAUACAUGCAAGUCGAGCGAACAGACGAGGAGCUUGCUCCUCUGACGUUAGCGGCGGACGGGUGAGUAACACGUGGAUAACCUACCUAUAAGACUGGGAUAACUUCGGGAAACCGGAGCUAAUACCGGAUAAUAUAUUGAACCGCAUGGUUCAAUAGUGAAAGACGGUUUUGCUGUCACUUAUAGAUGGAUCCCCUCCUGAUUAGCUAGUUGGUAAGGUAACGGCUUACCAAGGCAACGAUGCGUAGCCGACCUGAGAGGGUGAGCGGCCACACUGGAAAUGAGACACGGUCCAGACUCCUACGGGAGGCAGCAGUAGGGAAUCUUCCGCAAUGGGCGAAAGAAUGACGGAGCAACGCCGCGUGAGUGAUGAAGGUCUUCGGAGCGUAAAACUCUGUUAUUAGGGAAGAACAAAUGUGUAAGUAACUAUGAACGUAUUGACGGUACCUAAUCAGAAAGCCACGGCUAACUACGUG